GCAUAUCAAUAAGCGGAGGAAAAGAAACCAACAGGGAUUGCCCUAGUAACGGCGAGUGAAGCGGCAACAGCUCAAAUUUGAAAGCUGGCCUUCGGGUCCGCAUUGUAAUUUGUAGAGGAUGCUUUGGGGCAGCCGCCUGUCUAAGUUCCUUGGAACAGGACGUCAUAGAGGGUGAGAAUCCCGUAUGUGACAGGACAUGGCACCCUAUGUAAAGCUCCUUCGACGAGUCGAGUUGUUUGGGAAUGCAGCUCUAAAUGGGAGGUAAAUUUCUUCUAAAGCUAAAUACCGGCGAGAGACCGAUAGCGCACAAGUAGAGUGAUCGAAAGAUGAAAAGCACUUUGGAAAGAGAGUUAAAAAGCACGUGAAAUUGUUGAAAGGGAAGCGCUUGCAAUCAGACUUGUUUUGACUGUUCGGCCGGUCUUCUGACCGGUUUACUCAGUCUGGACAGGCCAGCAUCAGUUUUGGCGGCCGGAUAAAGGCUCAGGGAAUGUGGCUCUCACUUCGGUGGGAGUGUUAUAGCCCUGGGUGUAAUACGGCCAGCCGGGACUGAGGUCCGCGCUUCGGCUAGGAUGCUGGCGUAAUGGUUGUAAGCGACCCGUCUUGAAACACGGACC
rnacentral:rRNA from 1 species